GGAGAGUUCCCUGACCUCCUCGCGGAGCAUGCAACAGGGACAUGACUCAUUUACUCGGCCACUGCACUCAAACCACUUAUGGGAGGGGGAACAUGCAGGUGAGCCAAGGUUUUCUUUUAACAGAUGGCCUCAGAAGUGGGAUUUGAAGUAGAGCUUCCAGCAACCCCCAGGAGCACUGAGUGAUUAAGCAAGGUACACCAGCUCC
rnacentral:lncRNA from 1 species